GACGAACGCUGGCGGCGUGCUUAACACAUGCAAGUCGAACGAAGUGGCGAACGGGUGAGUAACGCGUAAUCAACCUGCCCUUCAGAGGGGGACAACAGUUGGAAACGACUGCUAAUACCGCAUACUGAAGGAGGGGAUUGCGUCUGAUUAGCGUGUUGGAGGGGUAACGGCCAACCAAGGCGAUGAGCAGUAGCCGUGCUGAGAGGAUGGCCGGCCCAAAUGGGCCUGUGAAACGGCCCAGGCUCCUGCGGGAGGCAGCAGUGGGGAAUCUGCCGAAAGGGAGGAAAGUAUGACGGAGCAACGCCGCGUGAGGUGUGACGGCCCUCCGGGUGUAAAGCUCUGUUAGUCGGGACACGGUACCGGAAUAGAAAGCCACGGCUAACUACGUGCCAGCAGCCGCGGUAAUAC
rnacentral:rRNA from 1 species